rnacentral:tRNA from 1 species
GCCCCUGUAGCUCAGUAGGAUAGAGCAGCGGUUUCCUAAACCGCGUGUCGGCGUUCGAAUCGCCCCAGGGGUACCA